GUGCUCACUUCGGCAGCACAUAUACUAAAAUUGGAACGAUACAGAGAUUAGCAUGGCCCCUGCACAAAUUUGUGACACACAAUUUGUGACACACAAAUUUGU